AUUGAACGCUGGCGGCAGGCUUAACACAUGCAAGUCGAACGAUGAAGAUAUAGCUUGCUAUAUCGGAUUAGUGGCGGACGGGUGAGUAACACUUAGGAAUCUACCUUUUAGCGGGGGAUAGCUCGGGGAAACUCGAAUUAAUACCGCAUAAUUUCUACGGAAUAAAGAGGGCUUUUAGCUCUCACUAGAAGAUGAGCCUAAGUAAGAUUAGCUAGUUGGUGGGGUAAAAGCCUACCAAGGCGACGAUCUUUAGCUGGUCUGAGAGGAUGAUCAGCCACACUGGGACUGAGACACGGCCCAGACUCCUACGGGAGGCAGCAGUGGGGAAUAUCGGACAAUGGGGGCAACCCUGAUCCAGCCAUGCCGCGUGUGUGAAGAAGGCCUUUUGGUUGUAAAGCACUUUAAGCAGUGAAGAAGACCUAUUGGUUAAUACCCAAUAGCGAUGACAUUAACUGCAGAAUAAGCACCGGCUAACUCUGUGCCAGCAGCCGCGGUAAUACAGAGGGUGCAAGCGUUAAUCGGAAUUACUGGGCGUAAAGCGAGCGUAGGUGGUUAAAUAAGUCAGAUGUGAAAGCCCUGGGCUCAACCUAGGAACGGCAUCUGAAACUAUUUAACUAGAGUAGGUGAGAGGGAAGUAGAAUUUCAGGUGUAGCGGUGAAAUGCGUAGAGAUCUGAAGGAAUACCGAUGGCGAAGCAGCUUCCUGGCAUCAUACUGACACUGAGGCUCGAAAGCGUGGGUAGCAAACAGG
rnacentral:rRNA from 1 species